GAAAUAUCACAGCUGGCUGAACACACUGCAAGGUCUGAGCUAACCAGAACUGCCUAAGCAGCAUGUAGGCUCUGCACUGCAGAUGCCAAGGGUCAGCACUAGCUCCAGCUGUUUCCUCGAGUCUUGUCCUUGGUCACGAGAGUGAAGAAAUCGGUACCUGCCCCUCCUCUUCCCCUCACAAGGUUGUUGAAGACCACAAUGAGGUCUCCCUUCAAUCUUCUCUCCUCCAGGCUGAACAGACCAACGGGAUCCCUGGCAUCCUUAAAAAGUUGAUGAUGAUGAAGAGCGUGAAACAGCUGUCAGAUAUCUUAGCCCUGCUUAUCUGGAUUAGAAAACUUAUUGGGAGGCCUAUUUUGCUUCAAACCUUCCUGACAGAAAACGGGACAAUCGGAAAGAGGGGUGUUUUUUUCACCUUGUUUACCCUAGAAACGUGAUUCCAAUAAUCACUGGAGACAACGGAUGA